UCUAUAUAUUAUUGCUCACUCCCAUCUCCCUCACUUUUCAUCCUUUUUCUUCUUCUCUCUCUUCCGAAUCCCAUAUAUAAAAUCCACAGGUUUAUCAAUCAUUAUCUGGUUUUCUCUCUCUUUUUUCAUUUUUGGUUAUAACGAUGAUGGUGAAUGAUGAGUGGGUUGAGGCGGCGAUCACGGACGACAACGUGGUGGUUGAGUUGUUGUUAAGGCUCAAGCAAGCCCAGGCGGCACCUCCUCUUUUCAAAUCUGCCUUGACUGCGUUUAAAUGGGGGAUACGUCAGCGGAGGUCUAAACACAUGCUGCUGCGAUGCGACGCCAGGAGAGACGGAGAUUUAAACGUCAGUGCGAGAGGUAGUCCCACCACGCCGCUUUGUUGGAGCGGUGGUAGCAGCGACGCCUCUCCUUGCGCCGUCGACGGCUUUGAAGUGACCAGCACACAGGUCCACUGCUCAAAUCCUGUCGCACCUUCCAGAUCCAAGGUUUCUUCUCCCUCUCUCGCUCUCUCUCUUAAGUUGUUGAAUCUCUUUUGCUUUCAUAUUUCGGGUUGACAGAAACAAUCUUUCGUGGCUAUACCCAAAUACGUAUCGCCGCCGUUUUUUCGGGGUUGCCUUUUCGCGUUCUGGUUUUUGAUUUGGAAUGACAGUAAUUCAUCGGUUCCCAGCUGACUCACUGAGUUCACCAGAUCUGCCAUUAUUAACGUUUCUCUUCAUCAUCGAACUUUCCGAUUCGACAUCUCCGAUCAUCGGAUUUUAUUCCGACCGUUGGACUAAAAAGCCCCCGUGUUUUAAAACUUUUUUACCAUCUUCACGUGAAGACGGAUUUUUACCGAACCUCCCUUUUAAACCACGCCCUUUUUAGGGCCGGAAAGGAAACUACACAGAUCACGAGCUCGGUUAAUACUUGAAACUCAUCAACUCUGAAAUCCGUUUACAUCGGUAACCAUCUUUACCAGAUCAGACCUUUCCAGUAGAGGACCAAUUUGUCAGAAGUGAAAAUAAGAUUCCCCAGCUCCCACCGUCCAAGUAGCUUUCCGAGCAGCGGGGGCAUUUCGGUCUUAGUAAUAGGUGGAAGUGAAGGGGGAGAGUUUAUCAGGUGUGACGCGGGUGUGACCGGAUUUGGUGGAGUCUUCGUUUACCUUCUCAAUCUGUAACAGCACAUCAGUGUUGUCUCUCAACUUGUCUCAGGGUUAUUAGCUUAGCUCUAAGCGUGGGGUUGUGUAAGUCACGUGCGUGGUGUGCCAAGUCAUGGCUUGGAUUAGAUUCGUCGCGUGCUUGUCAGUCUUACGUGGCGUCUUAUUACCGGCUUUUGUCGUUUUCGUUUUUUUAAUUCUACGCCGCUUUGGGCACUCUGACUCUGCCAGCUGUACUAAAAGAAGAGCCUUGGGUUGCAUGUUUCUUCCUUGCAUCCCGAUGUUGAUAGUAUUUUGUUGUUAUUAUUAAAGGUCUCGGUUCGAAUAUUAUGUAUGUUCGAUGUCCGGUUGAAAAUCUUUGAACAGACGUUAUUUUGUGUUUAUCCCAAAUUUAUGAAAGAAGUAUUUGUGAAUUUGGGUUAAGUUGGUGUGUUGUUCGACUUAUUUGAGUUCAAUUUUGUUACACUGGCUCAUAGGUAGGGAUAGGGAUGAAUAUGCAUGUUCUUAUUUCUAUUAGAUAAAAUAAGGGUCUAAUUGAAAAAAUCUAUAAGUGAGGGGUAUUAUAGCAAUUAUCUCUAAAUGUGUAAAGGUCGAUUGUAUUAUUAUUCACGGAUUGAAUCGGAUCUGUUGUUUUUCACCUUUAACUCGAACUGAUGCGGGCAUUACGGUGCAAUUUCGGCAAUGAUUUUUCGUUCAAAUCAGAAAGGAUGGAUUGUAAUUAGGAUAUACCAUUACUUUCUCUCAAUGUUGUGACCUCAACAAACACGACAAGGAUGGACCCAAAUUCCGAGUUCUUUUUCAAUGCCUGCUUGCUUUAUUGAUUAAUGGUGGGUUUUGCAGAGCAGUGCUUCUAGUGAAACCAACAGAACAAGUUCCAAGAGGUCAAGAAGAAAGGAGCUCGAUUCGAACUCGAGCUUAAUCGAUAAUGAACCAGAGAAAGUACCUCGUCUGGGGCCGCCGCCUUCUUCAGAGUCAAACUUGCUAUCGGAUGAUCACCGUAAACCGCGGUUAGAUUCGCACGAUGCAGGCAAGGAUAUCUUCGUACUGCCUGAUCUAAAUAUGAUGCCUGGUGAAGAUGAUUCCGGUCCCGAAACGUUACACAGGACUAGCUGAACAGGCAAGAACCGAUCACUUUCGGAUUAGAAUCGGAGGAUUGAGAACUCAGGUGAUGGCUUGAAAUAUUCUAAUCUGAAAGAUUAUCCUCUCAUUGGCUUCUUGUUUUGGAACUUUAUGUAUAUAAAUUAGUUGCUGUUCUUUGUAGGUGGAGACUUGUUUAAAACUGAUUUCAUACUUUUGGU